UACAGAGGGGGCAAGCGUUGUUCGGAAUUACUGGGCGUAAAGGGCGCGUAGGCGGCCUUCUAAGUCGAACGUGAAAUCCCCGGGCUCAACCCGGGAACUGCGUCCGAUACUGGAAGGCUUGAAUCCGGGAGAGGGAUGCGGAAUUCCAGGUGUAGCGGUGAAAUGCGUAGAUAUUGGGAAGAACACCGGUGGCGAAGGCGGCGCUCUGGACCGAGACUGACGCUGAGGCGCGAAAGCGUGGGGAGCAAACAGG
rnacentral:rRNA from 1 species